AGAGUUUGAUUAUGGCUCAGGAUGAACGCUAGCUACAGGCUUAACACAUGCAAGUCGAGGGGCAGCAUUGGAGUAGCAAUACUUCAGAUGGCGACCGGCGCACGGGUGAGUAACACGUAUCCAACCUGCCGCUUACUCGGGGAUAGCCUUUCGAAAGAAAGAUUAAUACCCGAUGGUAUAAAGAGUUCGCAUGUUCUCUUUAUUAAAGAAUUUCGGUAAGCGAUGGGGAUGCGUUCCAUUAGAUAGUUGGCGGGUAACGGCCCACCAAGUCUACGAUGGAUAGGGGUUCUGAGAGGAAGGUCCCCCACAUUGGAACUGAGACACGGUCCAAACUCCUACGGGAGGCAGCAGUGAGGAAUAUUGGUCAAUGGACGCGAGUCUGAACCAGCCAAAGUAGCGUGAAGGAUGACUGCCCUAUGGGUUGUAAACUUCUUUUAUAAGGGAAUAAAGUGAGGGACGUGUCCCUUUUUGUAUGUACCUUAUGAAUAAGGAUCGGCUAACUCCGUGCCAGCCGCCGC
rnacentral:rRNA from 1 species